UGGUAAUUGAGUAAGGCCGCAACGCCAUUCGGUUGCUAUUUUCUCGGAUAAUUUUUGCCGUUAAAAAAGAUUUUAGUUAAUAAUAAGUAAGAUUAAUGUUAUUAAGGCAUUAAUUUAGUAAGUUAGGCCGUCCAAGGGCGUAUCUAAAAUGUCGGUACAAAAUUUUAGCAGAUAUUUUGUGAUUAUCUUUUAAUGAAUGUUUUCGAUUGAAUUGAAUUAUCUUUAAACGCAAGUUAUACUUUUUAUAUGACUUUCAAUUGGAUUUGCUUCCAUUUAUAUUUGCUUAAAUAGUUUACCUGUUUAGUGACUUUAAUUCAUGUUAAGAAGACUUGCAGAUGGCGCUAGAGAUUGAUAUAAACUAUGGAGUGGCAUUUGAAAGUGGACAAUUACUUAGCAAAUGGGAAAAGUGUUUACCACAAAUUAUAGAAUUUCUAAAAAAAGAUGGCCACAUAAAGGACAAAUCUUCUAAAGACCUUUUAACAAACAUAGAUAAAACUACAGAUGAUGAAAAUGGAAGAUAUGCUGCAGUCCUAUGGGCAUUCCAUGGCUAUUUUGUGCCUUCCGCAAAAGAAUACAAAAAACGAGUUAAUGGAAAAUCGACGUGUACAAAAUACACUAUCAAGGAUUCCCAGGAAUCGUUUUUGUAUUGCGGAAAAACCCAGCAGGAGGCUGAAGAACACAUCAUUUAUUUAAAAACUAAAGAAACGGCCAUUCAACCCUUUAUAAUGUGUCUUGGGGAUAAUAUUAACAACAUUUCAAACAUUUGUGUGUACUUUGAUGAUGGUCGUUACAAAUGCUUUCAUUUAAUUAAGGCUGUAGACGUAUGUUUUAAAAUAAUGUAUCUCUUCAACUAGGACUUUCCAAAGCCUAGUAAAAUGUUUUGGAAUUUUAUUGAAAAGGCUUUUUAUAGUGAUAAACCUUACCUUACUUUGGAAAGUCCAAAAGUUCAAAUUUUGUGCGAAUAUUUGCCACAAUA